GCCCGGGUGGUGGAACUGGUCAGACACGCGGCACUCAAAAUGCCGUGCCCUCGUGGCAUGUGGGUUCGAGUCCCACCCCGGGUA
rnacentral:tRNA from 1 species